GAAAAGGUAAAAAUAAAACAUAUCUAUCAGUUGAACAAUCCCUAAUAUCUCGCUUUGUUGUCUCUUUCUCUUCAGCUCAUUUGCGCUUCUCUUUCUACUCCGAUCCGAUCUUGCAAAGAUGAUGAUAAGACCAGAAAUUGGUAACGAAAAUCGCUUCUUCGCGUGUGAAAAUUUGAUUUGCAACUUAUAGUAGUGAAGAAUUCGUCAUUUUUGGCUUCAAUUGACCCCAGGUAAUUCUUUUUCCUCUGCUUUGCAUAUUUAUCUUCGAUCUGUACCUCAUAAGCUGAUUGUUUUUGUACUGCUACCUUGCAUGGACUGAACCUGCCUGUGUGGAGCUUCAUUUUACUCCGUUUUCAGCACUGAUAGCUUAGUUGAUCUUGGUCCUCUGAAUCGCUGAUUUGAGAUGGUUUUCGUCUUCAACCAUGGAACUGGCUGGCUUGAGUGUUGCCGCUGCAAUUGCAUAGGUCAAUAAUUGUUUUUCUGCAAUUUUUUUUAUACUUUAUCUCACCACCUCUUUUAUUUCUAUUUAUGACAAUUUGACACGGUUGAAGAUGCAUUCUGGAGGAGGGUAAAAAAAGAAGAUAGCAUUCUGAUCCAUAAAACUUGAAGUUUGUUUAAGUUGUAUUGAAUUGAGUAUUUUGGUUACAUUAGAUCUUGAUGUAAGGUAACAAUGCAAUUAUAUAACAUCUGCCUAAUUGGCGUGUCACAAAUUUAAAUUUUUAUUUAUUUGUUUUUCCCAUGCAUAUAGCGGGAGCUUAGUGCA